CCUACGGGUGGCUGCAGUGAGGAAUAUUGGUCAAUGGACGAGAGUCUGAACCAGCCAAGUAGCGUGAAGGAUGACUGCCCUAUGGGUUGUAAACUUCUUUUAUAUGGGAAUAAAACGUUCCACGUGUGGGAUUUUGUAUGUACCAUAUGAAUAAGGAUCGGCUAACUACGUGCCAGCAGCCGCGGUAAUACGGAGGAUCCGAGCGUUAUCCGGAUUUAUUGGGUGUAAAGGGAGCGUAGGUGGAUUGUUAAGUCAGUUGUGAAAGUUUGCGGCUCAACCGUAAAAUUGCAGUUGAAACUGGCAGUCUUGAGUACAGUAGAGGUGGGCGGAAUUCGUGGUGUAGCGGUGAAAUGCUUAGAUAUCACGAAGAACUCCGAUUGCGAAGGCAGUUCACUGGACUGCAACUGACACUGAGGCUCGAAAGUGUGGGUAUCAAACAGGAUUAGAUACCCCUGUAGUC
rnacentral:rRNA from 1 species